UACGUAGGUGGCGAGCGUUAUCCGGAAUUAUUGGGCGUAAAGAGUACGUAGGUGGCAACCUAAGCGCAGGGUUUAAGGCAAUGGCUCAACCAUUGUUCGCCCUGCGAACUGGGAUGCUUGAGUGCAGGAGAGGAAAGCGGAAUUCCUAGUGUAGCGGUGAAAUGCGUAGAUAUUAGGAGGAACACCAGUGGCGAAGGCGACCUUCUGGACAGUAACUGACGUUGAGGCACGAAAGUGUGGGGAGCAAACAGG
rnacentral:rRNA from 1 species